rnacentral:rRNA from 1 species
GGACGCUAGUUCCGGUGGAGCCAACCUUGAAAUACCACCCUGGUGUCGUUGAGGUUCUAACCCAGGCCCGUGAAUCCGGGUCGGGAACAGUGCAUGGUGGGCAGUUUGACUGGGGCGGUCUCCUCCCAAAAGGUAACGGAGGAGUUCGAAGGUCUCCUAGGUACGGUCGGACAUCGUACUGAUAGUGCAAUGGCAAAAGGAGGCUUGACUGCGAGACCGACAAGUCGAGCAGGUGCGAAAGCAGGACAUAGUGAUCCGGUGGUUCUGUAUGGAAGGGCCAUCGCUCAACGGAUAAAAGGUACUCUGGGGAUAACAGGCUGAUUCCGCCCAAGAGUUCACAUCGACGGCGGAGUUUGGCACCUCGAUGUCGGCUCAUCACAUCCUGGGGCUGUAGCCGGUCCCAAGGGUAUGGCUGUUCGCCAUUUAAAGUGGUACGUGAGCUGGGUUUAAAACGUCGUGAGACAGUUUGGUCCCUAUCUGCCGUGGGCGUUGGAAGUUUGAGGGGACCUGCUCCUAGUACGAGAGGACCGGAGUGGACGCACCUCUGGUGUACCGGUUGUGACGCCAGUCGCAUCGCCGGGUAGCUAAGUGCGGAAGAGAUAACCGCUGAAAGCAUCUAAGCGGGAAACUCGCCUCAAGAUGAGACUUCCCUGGGGACUCGAUCCCCCUGAAGGGUCGUGGAAGACCACCACGUUGAUAGGUCGGGUGUGGAAGCGCAGUAAUGCGUUAAGCUAACCGAUACUAAUUGCCCGUGAGGCUUGAUCCUAUAACCUUA